AAUAUAUAUAUAUAAAGAUCAUAACUCGAGAAGAAUUGAAUGCAAUUUAUUUUUUUGGAAUAAUUAUUGCUAAAUAAUGCAAAGAAAAGAGAGGAAAAUGAUAAACAUUAAAGGACUUUUAAUGUCUUAUAAAUUUUAGAAUUUACAUAGAAAAUUCCUUUUGCUGGUCUAUUACAUUUUUUUAUUCCUGAAUAGCUUGAUGUAGGCUUAUAAACAACAUCACUACACUUCUCGAAUAAACGACUAAUCGGUCCCUUGCGAUGUUCUUAGAGAACAUAGAAAACGUGUUCCAGAGAAAUACUUGUGCGGGAAAAAACGUGCGGCAUAAUGAUCAUGAUGCACGUGCAAUGAGUAAUUUCCGGCUGAUGCAAUUCUCUGGGCACACUUAAAAAAAUAAAUAUAAAAAAAGAACAUCAUAAAAAAGAGAGAUAAAAAGGAUGACAUGCUUGAUCGAUACCUUCUAAAAAUCAUUUCUCGCGCGAAGGGCCAACGGGUCCCUGCUCGAGCAGACUUGAAUGACCUCUCUCAUUCUGGUCCACUGAUCACCGAUCUCCUGAAGCAAUAUAAAAAUAACUACGUUAGCGUUCAUAAUUCAAAUUCUUGGAAGUCAUGGAAGAAGUUUAAAAGCACUACGUGAAAAUUCGAAAACUUUGAAAGCGUUUGACUUCGGCAGGCUGAGAGAGGUAAUAAAGCUUCCCGGACUCUCGAGUCUGCAGACAUCUCCAUAGAGAAACGUCAGCGUUUAAGCAAAAGAGCUUUCAAUAUUAGAUAAAACUCGAUAAAUCCUUUUGAUCAACGUUCUUUUACUUACUUUUUCAAUAAACAAUUGCAAACACUCAAAUAAUAUAAUUUGCUAACAAACUAAAGAUAAUAUUAUAACUACAUGUACUAAUAUAUAUACAUAUGUCAAUUCAAUUUUACA